rnacentral:rRNA from 1 species
ACGCUCGACACCUACGGGAGGCAGCAGUGGGGAAUAUUGCACAAUGGGGGAAACCCUGAUGCAGCGACGCCGCGUGGAGGAAGAAGGUCUUCGGAUUGUAAACUCCUGUUGUUGGGGAAAAAGAGGAUGGUACCCAACAAGGAAGUGGCGGCUAACUACGUGCCACAGCCGCGGUAAUCUGAGCGGGCUGGCAAGGC